rfam:Coprinopsis cinerea okayama7#130 chromosome 8 cont3.8, whole genome shotgun sequence.
GGGCGUUUGGCACAGUGGUAGCGCGUUCGCUUCGCAUUUAUUGACGCUUGCGAAAGGUCCAGGGUUCAAUCCCCUGAACGUCCA